GAUGAACGCUGGCGGCGUGCUUAACACAUGCAAGUCGAACGAUGAAGCCCAGCUUGCUGGGUGGAUUAGUGGCGAACGGGUGAGUAACACGUGAGUAACCUGCCCUUGACUCUGGGAUAAGCCUGGGAAACUGGGUCUAAUACUGGAUAUGACUUCUCAUCGCAUGGUGGGGGGUGGAAAGAUUUAUUGGUCUUGGAUGGACUCGCGGCCUAUCAGCUUGUUGGUGAGGUAAUGGCUCACCAAGGCGACGACGGGUAGCCGGCCUGAGAGGGUGACCGGCCACACUGGGACUGAGACACGGCCCAGACUCCUACGGGAGGCAGCAGUGGGGAAUAUUGCACAAUGGGCGCAAGCCUGAUGCAGCGACGCCGCGUGAGGGAUGACGGCCUUCGGGUUGUAAACCUCUUGCAGUAGGGAAGAAGCGAGAGUGACGGUACCUGCAGAAGAAGCGCCGGCUAACUACGUG
rnacentral:rRNA from 1 species